UACGGGGGGGGCAAGCGUUGUUCGGAAUUACUGGGCGUAAAGGGUUUGUAGGUGGCUUGUUAAGUCAGACGUGAAAUCCCUCAGCUUAACUGGGGAACUGCGUCUGAUACUGGCGAGCUUGAGUGCAGGAGAGGAACGCGGAAUUCCAGGUGUAGCGGUGAAAUGCGUAGAUAUCUGGAGGAACACCGGUGGCGAAGGCGGCGUUCUGGUCUGUAACUGACGCUGAGGCGCGAAAGCGUGGGGAGCAAACAGG
rnacentral:rRNA from 1 species